rnacentral:rRNA from 1 species
CCACGCACACACGCGCGGCAUAUCAAUAAGCGGAGGAAAAGUAAAUGCCGUAUACCUACGCUUAGGAUGUUGAAGAUAUGCGCGACACGACUCUAUACAUGACUCUGUGCAUAUCAAUAAGCGGAGGAAAAGAAACUAACAAGGAUUCCCUUAGUAACGGCGAGUGAAGCGGGAAGAGCUCAAAUUUGAAAUCUUCAAGGUUCUACCUUGACGAAUUGUAGUUUAUAGAAGUGUUUUCUGUUAGUGGAGUGGCAAAAGUUCUUUGGAAUAGGACAUCAUAGAGGGUGAGAAUCCCGUAUUUGACCAUUAUUUCCAACUUUGUGAUACACUUUCAAAGAGUCGGAUUGUUUGGGAAUGCAGUCCAAAAUGGGUGGUAAAUUUCAUCUAAAGCUAAAUACUGGCGAGAGACCGAUAGCGAACAAGUACCGUGAGGGAAAGAUGAAAAGAACUUUGAAAAGAGAGUUAAACAGUACGUGAAAUUGUCAAAAGGGAAGCGUUUGACACCAGUGUUGUUUUCUCGAAAAUCAAUUAAAAAUGGUGGGACUCUGUGUUGUAUUGACUUUAUCAGCCUUCUGCACUCUUUUCCUAUCUUUUUUAAUGCACUUUUCGUUUAACAAGUCAACAUCAAUUUCUUUUGUUGUAAAAGAGUCAUUGGAAGGUGGCUUUCUUUUCGGAGAAAGUGUUUAUAGCCUUUAACCUCUGCAAUCGGAGAGAUUGAGGUCUGCAGCGUAGAUCCUUCGGGGUUAGAUACAUUUGUGCUAAGUUAUAGUCUUUUAUAGACAACUUGUUGACUAUGAUUGAUCUUGUAGCUUACUCGCUUAUGCUAUUUUACCUACGCUUAGGAUGUUGAAGAUAUGCGCGACACG